AAUGAAGAAGAGCGAAAACGAAAGUAGUUAUUUCUCAGGACAACCAAGGCCGGAGGUAAAACAUCUAUAGUUUGAUGUUGAAUCCUGGGGCAGUAAAGCACAGCAUGGGGUGGAAACUAUUCUGCUGUGUUUUUACAUUGAUGGUUGGCCUUCUUGAAUGCCCCUCGAUUGGUAAUGGUAUCAUUAUUAAAACUGUGAAUUUGAAGCACUCUGUCACUCUCCCUUGCAAUGCAACCUGUGACAUUGGCAUCGUUUGGAAGAUUGUAGAUGGCCAGGUCGUUGCCAAGAUUGAUCAAGGAAAAUUAAUUGAAGGAAACGCUUUGAGAAGAGGGUGGAAAUCAACAAAGACCUCUCUCUCACAAUCAGCUCUGCGGUGUACAAUGACAAGGGCUCAUAUGAGUGUGUCUGUGAUAAGCAGAAUGUUGCAGAUGUGAAGCUAGAUGUUCUGGUCCCGACAGAAAUAUCAGCUCACGUCGGAGAUAAUGUCACACUUCACUGCUAUGGCUCAACCAAAAAGCAGGCAACCGAUGGUGAGAUGUAUGUCCAGUGGGAGAAAGAUGGACAGACUGUGCUGAAGAUUGACCCAACCAAUACUACCUUUGGCCCUGGAUUCAUUGACAGGACAUCAGUGACCUGGGAUGGUUACGGAGAGGGUGACCUGUCCCUCACCAUCACCGGUGUACGCUCGUCUGACCAGGGGACCUACCUGUGCUUCUUCAACAGUGAUAGUGACCCAGGAUAUCCACAUGGAGUCACUCUCACUGUUAAAGAAAAGCAAUUGGAGCCUGCAAUGACUUAUAGUGAAAGGAGUAGGGUGCCAUUGCUAGUAAUAAUUAUUCAAAUCAUUUGUGUGCUCGGGUUACUGGUGAUUCACAAGAGAAACAGGAGACAGCCAACAGCAUCACCAGCACAUCUCUCCGUUCCAGUUCAGGACAGCCAACCGUUGCCAGAAGUCCCAAGAAUCCAGAGUUGUUGUGAUGAUGAUCUCGAUGAGACCACGUGUCCUGAGGGGAUGUAUGAACGCACAGAGGAGGAGCUUCAUCUCCCAGUAGCUGAAAGUGGGACACUGCUAGUGCAGGAGAAGAGCAGCACAGGGGAGUUGAGUAUGAAGAUAGUAUGUUCUGGUUGCCAACUUCUUUGUUUGUGAAAUGUCCUAUGUUCACUGAAGUGGAUGUCUUCCUAUCAUAGUUUACUGUAUGAAUCAGUAGCCAAUGACUGCAGCUUGAUUACCUUGAAUCAAAUGAUACAGGGUUUACUUUAUCUCUAGCCCAGUCUUUGCUUAUGUUCUGCCUAACCUUUAUUUUACUAGGCAAGUCAGUUAAGAACAAAUUCUUAUCUUCGAUGACGGCCUAGGAACAGUGGGUUAACUGCCUGUUCAGGGGCAGAACGACAGAUUUUGUACCUUGUCAGCUCGGGGAUUUUAACUUACAACCUUUUGGUUACUAGUCCAAUGCUCUAACCACUAGGCUACCCUGCCGCCCCUAGUCUUCCAGCCUCACUGGUGGCUUAAAUUGUUUAAAGCUAGAUAUUUUACACCAGCAUAAGCAUUUUAUUGGGGGGUGAGAGGUAUAAAGGAGGAUCCUUUGAGUGUGUGGAUAUGAAAGGGAAGCUGGUAGGGAAUAAAGGAGGAAUCAUUCAUCUCUCUGGUGGUGGUGCUACUGUUAUUCUAACUGGAAGGUUUACUAGUCAAGAUCAAUGUCACAUUUAAUCUGGUCUUGCUUGAUAUCAAAGGGAUAUCACAGUACGUGUAAUACACAAUAUCCUCACAAGAGGGCAGAUGUACACCAUCAUUUUAAAGUAAACUAUGAUUCUUUUUGGGUCAGUGAUACACUUGGGACGUCCCUACCCUAAAUCCUAACCUGAAUCCACAAGCGAUACUUUAAUCCUUACAUUAACUAUUUUACAUUUAGACUUCUGUGGGGUAGGCACGUCCCAAGGAUCCUCGAUAACAGAUUAAUGCAUUAUUAUAAGGUAUUACAUGAUGCGUAAUAAAUAUAUGUAUUUGCUAAAUGAUUAUAAAGAAUGUUUGCUAUA